rnacentral:sRNA from 1 species
CUUGGUCAUUUAGAGGAAGUAAAAGUCGUAACAAGGUCUCCGUUGGUGAACCAGCGGAGGGAUCAUUACAGAGUUGCAAAACUCCCUAAACCAUUGUGAACCAACCCCUAAACAGUUGCUUCGGCGGGUGGCCGGGCCCCCCGAGGGCCCUGCCGCCGAGCCCGCCGGAGUCGAACCAAACUCUUGUUUACCACUGGCCUCUCUGAGUACUGUACUUUAAAUAAGUCAAAACUUUCAACAACGGAUCUCUUGGUUCUGGCAUCGAUGAAGAACGCAGCGAAAUGCGAUAAGUAAUGUGAAUUGCAGAAUUCAGUGAAUCAUCGAAUCUUUGAACGCACAUUGCGCCCGCCAGUAUUCUGGCGGGCAUGCCUGUUCGAGCGUCAUUUCAACCAUCAAGCCCCCGGCUUGUGUUGGGGACCUGCGGCUGCCGCAGGCCCUGAAAGACAGUGGCGGUCUCGCUGUAGCACCGAGCGUAGUAACUAAAACCUCGCUAAGGCUGCUCCGCGGGCUCCGGCCGUAAAACCCCCUUCUAACACAAGGUUGACCUCGGAUCAGGUAGGAAUACCCGCUGAACUUAAGCAUAUCAAUAAGCGGAGGAAAAGAAACCAACAGGGAUUGCCCCAGUAACGGCGAGUGAGGCGGCAACAGCUCAAAUUUGAAAUCUGGCUUCGGCCCGAGUUGUAAUUUGUAGAGGAAGCUUUUGGCAAGGCACCGACUGAGUCCCCUGGAACGGGGCGCCAUAGAGGGUGAGAGCCCCGUAUAGUCGGACGCCGAGCCUCUGUAAAGCUCCUUCGACGAGUCGAGUUGUUUGGGAAU